rnacentral:rRNA from 1 species
GACGAACGCUGGCGGCGUGCUUAACACAUGCAAGUCGAACGAAGAGCGACGGAAGCUUGCUUCUAUCCGUCUUAGUGGCGCACGGGUGAGUCACGCGUAAUCAACCUGCCCUUCAGAGGGGGACAACAGUUGGAAACGACUGCUAAUACCGCAUACGAUCUAAUCUCGGCAUCGAGGAUGGAUGAAAGGUGGCCUCUACAUGUAAGCUAUCACUGCAGGAGGGGAUUGCGUCUGAUUAGCUAGUUGGCGGGGUAACGCCCCAUCAAGGCGAUGAUCAGUAGCCCGUAUGAGAGGAUGAACUGCCACAUUGGGACGGUGACACGGCCCAGACUCCUACGGGAGGCAGCAGUGGGGAAUCUUGCGCAAUGGACGAAAGACUGACGGAGAAACGCCGCGUGAGUGAUGACGACCUUCGGGUUGUAAAGCUCGGUUAAUCGGGACGAAAGGCCUUCUUGCGAAUAGGGAGAAGGAUUGACGGUACCGGAAUAGAAAGCCACGGCUAACUACGUG